UACGUAGGGUGCGAGCGUUAAUCGGAAUUACUGGGCGUAAAGAGUGCGUAGGCGGUUCGUUAUGUCUGCUGUGAAAGCCCCGGGCUUAACCCGGGAAUGGCAGUGGAAACUGGCGGGCUUGAGUGUGGCAGAGGGGGGUGGAAUUCCGCGUGUAGCAGUGAAAUGCGUAGAGAUGCGGAGGGACACCGAUGGCGAAGGCAGCCCCCCUGGGCUAACACUGACGCUGAGGCACGAAAGCGUGGGGAGCAAACAGG
rnacentral:rRNA from 1 species